GGACCCAGGCUCCUUCCAUUUGUGGCUCUGCUCUCUCCUAUGGCCUUGUCAUUUACUGUCUACACUGAUCUGGCAAAACAGAAAAGUCGGGUUGGAAGGGAAAAUGUUUGGAGGAGCAUAUGCAGGUCUUUUUGCCAAGCCUACAAGUGCAGCUAGUUCCAGAAUCCCGGUCCAACAAGGAGAUUGCCUCUGUCCAAGAAAAUAUCUUGAUAAGCUGCUCAGGGCAGAAGGGAAUGGCAAGGAACCUGAGGAACCAGCGUGAGGAAAACCUGGAUGAUCUGACGUCUUCCUCACUUUAUCCCUACCUGUCCACGCCUCCAUCCAUCCACCCAUCCAUCACUGAUCAAGCUCUCACUAUGUCUAUAGUGUAGAAGGUGCCACCAAAUGCAAUGGAACCUCUUGUCUCAUGUGUCUACUUGCAUCUUUAAGUUGAUACACGGAAGGCACAGUCCAAGCACAGGAUACUGGAAGCUAUGGAGGUACAGUGGCCUCUGAGCAAACUGAAAACUCUCUAUCACUAAAGGGUUGGGCAUACAGGGUAUCUCCUCUGCUCUGCCACCUACCUUGAGGAUGCUUUACAUGUGGCUAAAAGUGGAGGCAGAGAUAUUUGGAUAAAUAAAUGCUAGAGAAUUGGAAAUUCCUAGGACAAGUCAAUUUGGAUAUGUCUAUGUCAUCCUUUUUUUUCUAAGAGACACGUAACUCUGAUCCUUAAGGAGUUAGAGAGUUCCCAUAGCUUAGGGUCUGGAAGCCAUAUUCCUUUUUAUGUAACAUCCUUGAAUAUGCUACUCGUAUACCCUAAAUUUACUCUGUAAUUUUUUUUUUUUUAUUUGAGAGGGAGUCUCACUCUGCUGCC
rnacentral:lncRNA from 1 species